rnacentral:rRNA from 1 species
AUUGAACGCUGGCGGCAGGCCUAACACAUGCAAGUCGAGCGGAUGAAGGGAGCUUGCUCCUGGAUUCAGCGGCGGACGGGUGAGUAAUGCCUAGGAAUCUGCCUGGUAGUGGGGGAUAACGUCCGGAAACGGGCGCUAAUACCGCAUACGUCCUGAGGGAGAAAGUGGGGGAUCUUCGGACCUCACGCUAUCAGAUGAGCCUAGGUCGGAUUAGCUAGUUGGUUGGGUAAAGGCCUACCAAGGCGACGAUCCGUAACUGGUCUGAGAGGAUGAUCAGUCACACUGGAACGGAGACACGCUCCAGACUCCUACGGGAGGCAGCAGUGGGGAAUAUUGGACAAUGGGCGAAAGCCUGAUCCAGCCAUGCCGCGUGUGCGAAGAAGGUCUUCGGAUUGUAAAGCACUUCAAGUUGGGAGGAAGGGCAGUAAGUUAAUACCUUGCUGUCUUGACGUUACCUACAGAAUAAGCACCGGCUAACCUCGUG